rnacentral:sRNA from 1 species
AUCCCCACUUUUAUUUCUGGAGUAGAGACUUGACUUUACGACUAGUUCUCAAUCGACUCUAUUCUUAGCCUUGAAUUAUCUGCCUCUUUACUACCUAUCUAUCUACAGACCUGCUCGAUAUUCAAUCGAUUGCUAAUAGAAGAGAGAACGGUAGCGAUCUGUCUAUCUAUUUACGUCUGUGUGCGAUAUUUGAUCAAUCUAUAUGAAUAGAUAUUGCUCACUUGCUACCGAGUCUGUAAUCCAGCAAGCUUCUCACUGUAUAUAAGAUAAGGUCGGGGCUUAUAUAGUGCUUCUGAGCUUGAUCACUA